AUCUUUUGCCGCAAGCAGGCUUAUGUUGCCAUCGGAAGACUAUGUGAAAAACGUGACAGCAAGUGUGUGAUUUGUGACUCCUGUGUGCGUCCCUGCACUCUGGUGAUGUGAUGAGUGUAACUGUGGAUCUUACCAGGGGCACUGUGUGGUCUCUGGAGGUCCUGGAGUCUCUGAUGCCUAUUAUUGUAAGGAGUGCACCAUCCAGGAGAAUAGAGAUGGCUGCCAAAGAUUGUCAAUUUGAGGAGCUCUAAGACAGAUCUCUUCUGUGAAUGCAAAAAAUAUGGCUACAAGAAGAGGUGA
rnacentral:lncRNA from 1 species